AUGCAACGGAGGGCGGAGGCUCGCCACCUAAAAAAAUUAAAAGGCGCCCGCCGGCACCACAGGGCCUCCCACUUUCGACCACCGCUGGCUGUCCACCGCACCAUCUACCGCCUGGAUGCGUCCUCCUCUGACGUCGGUCAGCACCGCACACACCAGCUGCUCGAGCCCGCAGCCAUUGCGUCGACCUCGCGCCGCCUCGGCCUGGGUUCCGCCUUCCUCGCAGAUGCGGCAUCCGCGAUCCUGCAUUCCUGCUUCACCUCGGCUGCUUACAGCGAAGAUGAAGGCCGGCGCUGCGCUGAAAGGGGCACGGGGAGCCGGCAGCAUGGUCGGAAGGACGGGCGAGGUCUUGCAAGAAUAGCGUCAGCAGCAGAGCCCUACCACGGCCAGCAACCAGCUGCUGCUCCACUCGCUCCUGCGCCCGGGCACGUCGCAAGAGAGAUGGAUCGGUUGAUAUUCACAACCAUGAGCCUGGCGGCGGCAGAGGAAGCCGUCUACCACGACGACGGCGGAGAUGACGACUACUACGACGACCUGGGCCGGGAGGAGCAUCGCCUGCUGCGGGAGCUGCGCGCACGGCGGCUGCUGGCGUCGGGGCUGGAGCCGUGGUGCAUGGGGUCGGCGGUGACGACUCCGGCAAGGCGUUGGCCGACAGCGAGGUCGAGGAAUGGAGGAUUACGGAUUUGA
rnacentral:rRNA from 1 species